rnacentral:rRNA from 1 species
AUUGAACGCUGGCGGCAUGCCUUACACAUGCAAGUCGAACGGUAACGCGGGGAAACCUGGCGACGAGUGGCGAACGGGAGCGUAACGCAUCGGAACGUGCGCAGGAGUGGGGGAUCGCGCGGCGACAGCCGGAUUAAUACCGCAUACGACCUACGGGAGAAGGGGGGGGCUCGCAAGACCUCUCGCUACUGGAGCGGCCGAGGUCAGAUUAGGUAGUUGGUGGGGUAAAGGCUUACCAAGCCGACGAUCUGUAGCUGGUCUGAGAGGACGACCGGCCACACUGGGACUGAGACACGGCCCAGACUCCUACGGGAGGCAGCAGUGGGGAAUUUUGGACAAUGGGCGAAAGCCUGAUCCAGCCAUGCCGCGUGCGGGAAGAAGGCCUUCGGGUUGUAAACCGCUUUUGUCAGUGAAGAAAUCUUCUGGGAUAAUACCUCGGGAGGAUGACGGUACCUGAAGAAUAAGCACCGGCUAACUACGUGCCAGCCGCCGCCGUAA